rnacentral:rRNA from 1 species
CCUACGGGAGGCAGCAGUGGGGAAUAUUGGACAAUGGGCGAAAGCCUGAUCCAGCCAUGCCGCGUGUGUGAAGAAGGUCUUCGGAUUGUAAAGCACUUUAAGUUGGGAGGAAGGGCAGUUACCUAAUACGUAAUUGUUUUGACGUUACCGACAGAAUAAGCACCGGCUAACUCUGUGCCAGCAGCCGCGGU